UACGUUCCCGGGCCUUGUACACACCGCCCGUCACGUCACGAAAGCGGGCAACGCCUGAAGCCGGCGGGGUAACCGUAAGGAGCCAGCCGUCGAGGGCGGGGUUCGUGAUUGGGACG
rnacentral:rRNA from 1 species